rnacentral:rRNA from 1 species
GUGCCAGCAGCCGCGGUAAUACGUAGGGUGCGAGCGUUAAUCGGAAUUACUGGGCGUAAAGCGUGCGUAGGCGGUUUUUCAAGCUCGAUGUGAAAGCCCCGGGCUUAACCUGGGAAUGGCAUUGAGGACUGGAAGGCUUGAGUGCGGCAGAGGGAGGUGGAAUUCCACGUGUAGCAGUGAAAUGCGUAGAGAUGUGGAGGAACACCGAUGGCGAAGGCAGCCUCCUGGGCCGACACUGACGCUGAUGCACGAAAGCGUGGGGAGCAAACAGGAUUAGAUACCCCAGUAGUCC